UGGUUUUAACGACGUACGAGCAUUCUGGUGCACCGAGACUUGAAGCGAACUUCAACAAACUCCGAACUAAGUUUUCGUGCAAUCGAGAUCGAGAACCGUUAUAUUAAAAUUCCAGAUCUUCACGCGCUUGUACCCAUUGGUAUGUUCGUUGUGGUUACGGUUUUGGAAUGAGGAUACAUUAAAAUCAAUUUUGCGUCGGUCCACGUACCACGGACCACGGACCACGGAACCGAAAAUCCUAUCCGAGAUGUCUGAAUUCCAGGAUACCCGAAUAAAUGUUUGCUUAAUAAUCAACGUGCAUUUCAUUCCGCAAGUUCUCCAAUCGACGCCGUAUCUCUUGAUUAUUAUACGGAUGAUCCAACGUCAGUUCGGAAGAUUAUUACACGUUCGAACGCUUCCAAGUAUUAAACGUUUCUCCAGCUUUGAGGAAAUGGGAAGGAUGAAUGUUGUAUACGCGGCAAUACGGGUGGUGUUCGCGUCAUUAAUGAACGACAAUGUCAAAAACACGUUCGACCGCAGCAUAUGUAUAUGUGCCGGCUGCGAUAAGUCGUUUUAACUAAAAACCAAGGGUACCAUUAAUUAUAUCCUUCAGCGAACGUGUCUCGCGAUAUCGCUGAUUCUUGUAACUAUUUUUUGUCGGACCACCCUCGCGACGUCGCGAGGGUAUAAAGGACGAGACAUGGAGAGAGAGAGAGAGAGAGAGAGAGAGAGAGAGAGAGAAUGAGAGAAUGAAAGAGAGAGAGAGAGAGAGAGAGAGAUUUAUCAGUGGAAAUUUUACUCGGAGUUAUCAACCAACGGCCUGAGUAUUAAAUCUACCGAUUACAAGAAGAAGGAAGAUUAUGAAAGGCCGAGGAUAUAUAUAUAUAUAUAUAUAUAUAUAUAUAUAUAUA